rnacentral:rRNA from 1 species
UACGGGGGGGGCAAGCGUUGUUCGGAAUUACUGGGCGUAAAGGGCUCGUAGGUGGCCAACUAAGUCAGACGUGAAAUCCCUCGGCUUAACCGGGGAACUGCGUCUGAUACUGGACGGCUUGAGUUUGGGAGAGGGACGCGGAAUUCCAGGUGUAGCGGUGAAAUGCGCAGAUAUCAGGAGGAACACCGGUGGCGAAGGCGGGUCUCUGGGCCGAUACUGACGCUGAGGAGCGAAAGCGUGGGGAGCGAACAGG